UAUUCUGCCCCAUGGGGAAGGAUGAGAAGCUUCGACUAAGGUUCGACUCGAGCGAAGCGAGAGAACGUUGCCGCAGGCAACGGCCCGAAGGGCGAGGAGCGAUAGCGACGAGUUAUCCUUCCCCCACCACCA
rnacentral:sRNA from 3 species